CGGCCCCGUCCCGGCCCUCCCUCGGCCCCGUCCCCGCCCUCCCUCGGCCCCGUCCCGGCCCUCGGCUCCGUCCCGGCCCUCCCUCGGCCCCGUCCCCGCCCUCCCUCGGCCCCGUCCCCGCCCUCCCUCGGCCCCGUCCCGGCCCUCCCUCGGCUCCGUCCCGGCCCUCCCUCGGCUCCGUCCCGGCCCUCCCUCGGCUCCGUCCCGGCCCUCCCUCGGCCCCGUCCCGGCCCUCCCUCGGCUCCGUCCCGGCCCUCCCUCGGCUCCGUCCCCUCCCUCGGCCCCGCCCGUUCCCGCCCGUUCCCGCCAUUGGCACCCGCGGCCGUUGCCGGGCGGGGCCCUGAGGGCGCGGGAGCGGCUCCAUCGCCGAGCGGAGCCCCGGGACAGCCCCGGUUCCAGGCGUGGAUCCCUUUUCCCAGCUGCUCGUUCAGGGACGGCGCCCAUCGAUCCCCGCUGUCUGUGGGAGCUGCAGGGGACAGGUCAAGGUGUGUUCCUCCCUCUGGCUCCGCUGCCCGGGACUGUGCGGUGAGUAACAGGUAAAUGCUCAAGACCAGAAGCUUUGAGAGAGUUAUAAGGGAUGGAGAGUCAGUCUUGGCAAGGGAAUCGAAAGAUGGAGGGGAAUAUGGUUCAUUUGGAGGGGACCCACAAGGAUCAUCAGAGACUAAGUCCUGGCCCUGCUUUCUACUGCUUUCUUGAAGUUUGGUUUUAAAAUUACCAGCACAGUGCUUGGACACACAGGGGCUUGUUUCCUCACGUAAAUGUAUCAGGAGCACUGGGUUUAUUUCUGCACUUGGGCCUUCAUCAGCAGGAGCGUGGGGGAGUCAAACUGAGCAUGGGGAUUAAGCAAAUCUGGUGCAAUAACAGCUUGUACAAAGUUCAGCGUGGCCGAUGUGGUGCUUUUCAUGAGCAUCUGAGUCCCUGAACAGUGUUUCUGCUGUAGCAAAGACCACAGAGCUGACUGGAGCUGAUGAAGGGGGCAGGAAAGCGUGGCACGAAGAGAAGGAAAUUUGGUACCAAUCUCCCCAUUUCUUAGCAAAAGGAAGACCAGGAUUAUGAUUUAUUAUGAAAAUAGGCUUUAGUGUUACUGCUGCUUGGGACUGCAGUGUGAUUUCACUCAGCUGAGGAAUAGAACAAAGCAACACUGCAGAGAAUGGAAAGUGAAACUUAAUUUUUAGGUUUUGUGCUUAAUAGUAACCCAGGAGUAUUUCCUGGUGUGGUGUUGUCUGUGAGGGCUGCUGAGUUGGACUUUUUGUGCCAGAGCCUUGGGAGAGCUUUUAAAUAUGAGUGUUUAAUGCACUUAUAACUAUUUUAUGUUACAAAAAGUAACACUUGAAACAAGUAGGGGAAAAAAAUUCUGUACCUCUGUUCACAUUGAAAAUGUUACUCCUGGUGGGAGAAAAUUUCCACAGCUCUGAGGUUAUUUAGAAAUUCUAGUUCUGGCUUUUAGCACUCUGCUACUGUUUCCUGCUGUAACCAAUAGCUAGUGGCAGAGGGCUGCCUUUCCGGGCUUUUUAAGGCAGAGGUUGGAUAUGGAUGAUCUGGCUGCAGUGCGAUGAAUGCUCUCUGAGUGCAGCUUGGAAUUUGCUGAGCUCCUUGAACCAUUGCUCACAUCCAUUCUUUUUUCUUCCCCCCUUAGCAGUGAAGUGCCCAGGCAGGGAAUUCCCGCUCAGGAAAUGUGCUGUUGAGGCAAUGGUUGUGAGCAGAGAUGAACCCCUGUUGUUCGUGUGU
rnacentral:lncRNA from 1 species